GAAGACAUAGCUUAGGGGUCAGGAGCUCUGGCUGUUCCAGGGGACCUGGGUUCAAUUCCCAGUGCCCACA
rnacentral:tRNA from 1 species